GGAAGUAAAAGUCGUAACAAGGUCUCCGUUGGUGAACCAGCGGAGGGAUCAUUACCGAGUUUUCAACUCCCUAACCCUUCUGUGAACCUACCUAUCGUUGCUUCGGCGGACUCGCCCCAGCCCGGACGCGGACUGGACCAGCGGCCCGCCGGGGACCUCAAACUCUUGUAUUCCAGCAUCUUCUGAAUACGCCGCAAGGCAAAACAAAUGAAUCAAAACUUUCAACAACGGAUCUCUUGGCUCUGGCAUCGAUGAAGAACGCAGCGAAACGCGAUAAGUAAUGUGAAUUGCAGAAUCCAGUGAAUCAUCGAAUCUUUGAACGCACAUUGCGCCCGCCAGCAUUCUGGCGGGCAUGCCUGUUCGAGCGUCAUUUCAACCCUCGACCUCCCCUUGGGGGGGUCGGCGUUGGGGACCGGCAGCACACCGCCGGCCCUGAAAUGGAGUGGCGGCCCGUCCGCGGCGACCUCUGCGCAGUAAUACAGCUCGCACCGGAACCCCGACGCGGCCACGCCGUAAAACACCCAACUUCUGAACGUUGACCUCGAAUCAGGUAGGACUACCCGCUGAACUUAAGCAUAUCAAUAAGCGGAGGAA
rnacentral:rRNA from 1 species